UGAAAUUUUUGUCUAUAUAGAUAAAAAUUUAGUCUAUAAUGCAAAUGGUCCAUUAGAGUUACUGCUCUAUACUUGACCUUCACAUAGUUCGGGAUUUCACAAAAACCUCACCCAUAUAGGCCAUACUUGUUUGUUUUUGCAUAAAUAAUUGUUUAUUAUUCCAUAUUUGCUGAUAAAAUGGUACACUAUAACCCGAUAACGAUACUGUAAC